rnacentral:tRNA from 3 species
GCGGAGGUAGCUCAGUUGGUAGAGCAACGGGUUGUGGCCUCGUUGGUCGGGGGUUCGAGUCCCCUCCUUCGCCCCA